UGUAUGUAGGUAAAUCCGCAUACUGUAAGGCUGAGGCGUGAUGGGGAGGGAAGUAUAGUACCGGAAGCUGCUGAUUUCACACUGUCAAGAAAAGCCACUAGUGAGACCGUAGGUGCCCGUACCGCAAACCGACACAGGUAGAUGAGGAGAGAAUCCUAAGGUGAGCGAGAGAACUAUUGUUAAGGAACUCGGCAAAAUAACCCCGUAACUUCGGGAGAAGGGGUGCCUGCGAAAGCAGGCCGCAGUGAAAAGGCCCAGGCGACUGUUUAGCAAAAACACAGGUCUCUGCUAAAGCGAAAGCUGAAGUAUAGGGGCUGACGCCUGCCCGGUGCUGGAAGGUUAAGGGGACUGCUUAGAGCGAUCGAAGGCAUGAUCUUAAGCCCAGUAAACGGCGGCCGUAACUAUAACGGCCCUAAGGUAGCGAAAUUCCUUGUCAGGUAAGUUCUGACCCGCACGAAAGGCGUAACGAUCUGGGCGCUGUCUCAACAAUAGACUCGGUGAAAUUGUAGUACCGGUAAAGAUGCCGGUUACCCGCAGCAGGACGGAAAGACCCCAUGGAGCUUUACUGCAGUUUGAUAUUGGAGUUCGGCAUUGCACGUACAGGACAGGUGGGAGACUAUGAAGUAAGGGCGUCAGUCUUUACGGAGUCACCGUUGGGAUACCACCCUUGUAAUGUUGAGCUUCUAACCGUAUACCGUGAUCCGGUAUCGGGACAGUGUCUGACGGGCAGUUUGACUGGGGCGGUCGCCUCCUAAAGAGUAACGGAGGCGCCCAAAGGUUCCCUCAGUGCGGACGGAAAUCGCACGCAGAGCGCAAAGGCAGAAGGGAGCUUGACUGCGAGACAUACAGGUCGAGCAGGGACGAAAGUCGGGCUUAGUGAUCCGGUGGUUCCGAGAGGAAGGGCCAUCGCUCAACGGAUAAAAGCUACCCUGGGGAUAACAGGCUGAUACCGCCCAAGAGUCCACAUCGACGGCGGUGUUUGGCACCUCGAUGUCGGCUCGUCUCAUCCUGGGGCUGAAGUAGGUCCCAAGGGUUGGGCUGUUCGCCCAUUAAAGAGGUACGCGAGCUGGGUUCAGAACGUCGUGAGACAGUUCGGUCCCUAUCCGCUGUGGGCGUUGGAAAUUUGAGUGGAGCUGUUCCUAGUACGAGAGGACCGGAAUGGACGUACCGCUGGUGUACCAGUUGUCCCGCCAGGGGCAUGGCUGGGUAGCUAAGUACGGAAGGGAUAAGCGCUGAAAGCAUCUAAGCGCGAAGCCCCCCACAAGAAAAGAUUUCCUCCCUUUUGGGUAAGACCCGUGAGAGACUAUCACGUUGAUAGGUCGGAGGUGUAAGUGCAGCAAUGCAUUCAGCUGACCGAUACUAAUAGGUCGAACGCUUGAC
rnacentral:rRNA from 1 species